AUUAAAGAACCUUAGUGAGCGCGCUCACAUACCCCACGUCCCCACAUUGUCAUUGGAGAAAUAAAAUAUGUGUAAGAAAAAAAAAUUGUAUAAGAAAAAAAAAUUGAAUCAUAAUUUCCUGUCAAUAUGCACAUCUACAUAGUAUGUCCUUAUUAUCUACAAAGGUUUCAUGAAAUUCUGUUGUGUGGUAUCAGAGGAGUUGCGAUGACAAACUGUUGCAGUAGUACAUUAAAGUAAAUAAGUUCAAAGGGGCGUAACUCCUAGAAAAAAAAUUGAAUUGCAAUUUCCUGUCGAUAUGCACAACUACAUAGUAUGUCCUUAUUAUCUAAAAAGGUUUCGUGAAAUUCUGUUGUGUGGUAUCAGAGGAGUUGCGAUGACAAACUGUUGCAUAAUACAUUGAAGCAAAUAAGUUCAAAGGGGCGUAACUCCUAGAAAAAAAAUUGAACCGUAAUUUCCUGUCGAUAUGCACAUCUACAUAGUAUGUCCUUAUUAUCUAAAAUGGUUUCAUGAAAUUCUGUUGUGUGGUAUCAGAGGAGUUGCGAUGACAAACUGUUGCAGUAGUACAUUGAAGCAAAUAAGUUCAAAGGGGCGUAACUCCUAGAAAAAAAAUUGAACCGUAAUUUCCUGUUGAUAUGCACAUC